rnacentral:rRNA from 1 species
GUCGAGCGGACAGAAGGGAGCUUGCUCCCGGAUGUUAGCGGCGGACGGGUGAGUAACACGUGGGUAACCUGCCUGUAAGACUGGGAUAACUCCGGGAAACCGGAGCUAAUACCGGAUAGUUCCUUGAACCGCAUGGUUCAAGGAUGAAAGACGGUUUCGGCUGUCACUUACAGAUGGACCCGCGGCGCAUUAGCUAGUUGGUGAGGUAACGGCUCACCAAGGCGACGAUGCGUAGCCGACCUGAGAGGGUGAUCGGCCACACUGGGACUGAGACACGGCCCAGACUCCUACGGGAGGCAGCAGUAGGGAAUCUUCCGCAAUGGACGAAAGUCUGACGGAGCAACGCCGCGUGAGUGAUGAAGGUUUUCGGAUCGUAAAGCUCUGUUGUUAGGGAAGAACAAGUGCAAGAGUAACUGCUUGCACCUUGACGGUACCUAACCAGAAAGCCACGGCUAACUACGUGCCAGCAGCCGCGGUAAUACGUAGGUGGCAAGCGUUGUCCGGAAUUAUUGGGCGUAAAGGGCUCGCAGGCGGUUUCUUAAGUCUGAUGUGAAAGCCCCCGGCUCAACCGGGGAGGGUCAUUGGAAACUGGGAAACUUGAGUGCAGAAGAGGAGAGUGGAAUUCCACGUGUAGCGGUGAAAUGCGUAGAGAUGUGGAGGAACACCAGUGGCGAAAGGCGACUCUCUGGUCUGUAACUGACGCUGAGGAGCGAAAGCGUGGGGAGCGAACAGGAUUAGAUACCCUGGUAGUCCACGCCGUAAACGAUGANUGCUAGUGUUAGGGGUUUCCGCCCCUUAGUGCUGCAGCUACGCAUAGCACUCCGCCUGGGGGAGUACGGUCGCAGACUGAACUCAAGGAUGGACGGGGCCGCACAGCGGUG